UACGAAGGGGGGCGAGCGUUGUUCGGAAUUACUGGGCGUAAAGGGCGCGUAGGCGGCGACUCAAGUUAGAUGUGAAAGUCCUGGGCUUAACCUGGGGACUGCAUUUGAUACUGGGUUGCUUGAAUUCGGGAGAGGAUAGCGGAAUUCCCAGUGUAGAGGUGAAAUUCGUAGAUAUUGGGAAGAACACCGGUGGCGAAGGCGGCUAUCUGGACCGACAUUGACGCUGAGGCGCGAAAGCGUGGGGAGCAAACAGG
rnacentral:rRNA from 1 species